UGGGUUCCUGAAAGAAAAGCUGGG
rnacentral:piRNA from 1 species